rnacentral:tRNA from 1 species
GGUGGCUCAGUAGUAGAGUGCUUGCCUUGCAUGCAUGAGACCCUGGGUUCGAUUCCUCAGUACCA